UCGUAGGUGGAUACUGAUAACUAACCGAACUUUUCAGCUCACUGUGAUGUCAUCGAUGACGUACCCUCUCCCUCAAGUUUCUCGGACCUGAAGUAGUUGUAAUGUCUGGGGCUGCAUUCAUCUUCAAGUUUGGAAGCAGUGAUCAUCAUGUUUUUUUUUUUGUACAAAAGGCUGAAAUUUAUCACUGAAGUGAUACAUUGAGGAAACACCUAUAUGACCCCAAAUCCCGACUGUCAGCACAUUCCAGGAGGUGGCUGCCGGUUGCUGUGCUCUACUGUGAAGGAAGGAAGAAUAUCUGUUUUGGGAUUUACAGGCAUGUACAGUACUGUAUCCUCUGAAAGAUCCCUCUGUGAGUGUGUGCUUCAUUACAAUGGCAUAAAGAACAAUACAGGUCACUCAAAGCAGAGGACAUUUGUCUUGUGUUAAAACUUUCCUAUUUAGGCUGUCAAAGUGAUGUAUCUGUGUCUUUUUUUUAUAAUUUUUAAGUAAAUGAUUUAAAAUAAACUUUGAAGAACUUCA